GAUGAACGCUGGCGGAAUGCUUUACACAUGCAAGUCGAGCGGCAGCGCGGGGCAACCUGGCGGCGAGCGGCGAACGGGUGAGUAAUGCAUCGGAACGUACCCAGUCGUGGGGGAUAACUGUCCGAAAGGACAGCUAAUACCGCAUACGUCCUGAGGGAGAAAGCGGGGGAUCGCAAGACCUCGCGCGAUUGGAGCGGCCGAUGCCGGAUUAGCUAGUUGGUAGGGUAAAGGCCUACCAAGGCGACGAUCCGUAGCUGGUCUGAGAGGACGACCAGCCACACUGGAACUGAGACACGGUCCAGACUCCUACGGGAGGCAGCAGUGGGGAAUUUUGGACAAUGGGGGCAACCCUGAUCCAGCCAUUCCGCGUGAGUGAAGAAGGCCUCGGUUGU
rnacentral:rRNA from 1 species